UUCGGGUCAGAAAUUAUCAAUGUUCAUGGAUUCUCAGAACACAGCAGGGAGAAGUUUAUGUUAUGAACAGUUCUUAUCAACAAACCCUGUAAGAAGAAGGACACCUGUUCUACAGCUUGUGGUGGAUCAUAGAACACAUGAUAUCAACCAAGUUUAAAGGAAGCAUGUAUAGCCACAAUAGAAAGAUUUAAGGAUUGUGAGAAACCAAAUAUGACAAAUCAAAGUAAAUUUCAUGGGAGUGUGAAAAAAAAAGAAUAGUAGAGUGUAAUCCUCAGGACUUUCUUCAGACUUCCAUAAAGUCAGGAAAUACUGUUGAGCUGACAAAAUUAACAAAAAUCAUGAUUCUCAAAAAUUCAAGGAAGAUGUGAGAGUUAAGACUAAGAUGGAUUUUAGGAGUUUUGAUGACAAAGAAUCAACCAUUGGAAAUAUGGCUUUAAACUUGGAUCUCAUUAUUGAUGCAUACAUGAUGGUGGGCUGAAGAAGAAAACCAGGACAAAAGAAAAUUCCUAGUGUUCAUCAGAAAAAAUGAAUCAUGCAACCAUUUUGAGUGCUUGAAUGCCGAACUGAGAGACCACCAGCCAGUGCGGAAAAUAUUUCUUGGAAGUUACACCAAAUCUGCUGUGACAAUUGAAUUAAAGCUUUAAAAGUAGAUUUAAAAACAUACUGAUUCCUCUAUAAGUGAGACUUGAUUGCUUUUGACAGUUGCCAGUGGAUUUCAGAUCUUCUAAAUUGUACCAAUAUUAUAUAUUGAAGUGAUUUGCCUUAAAAUUACAUUUGUAUAUGGUGUAAUUAUUUCAAGGAGAUAUAACACUCUUGCAUGGUUAAACAGUAAGGUCCAUAGCUAAACAUGGAUAUGGAAUUUAGCUCACCUGAUCCAAAGGCUCAAUUGCACAAUUCUGAUAAAAAGAAGUCUUUGGUGUCCAACAAUACAUUAUUUAUAUGUUUGACUGUCUUCCUCCAUUAACUUUUAACAUUUUCUAAUUUUUUUUAACAUUUGGUCAAUGUAAAGCACAUUUGGUACAAUGUAUCUCAGAUUAAAAGGAAUAAAGCUUAUUCAAAUAAAGGGCUGCAUCCUUUUCCAAGGGGAGAUAAUGAAGAAAUAUGAAAAAUGGGAUAAUGUCAUUUAAAAACUUUCAUUUUAAGAUCUACUUGGUCAUAUAAGACAAAUGUUAUCCAAGAGUUUCUUAAUGAACAUAGAUUCAAGUUUUUUUUCAUUGCCCCUAAAGCGAGGGUAGAGCUGCAGAGGGGGUUAAAAGUUUUGCAUGAAAAUAUGUAAAAUGAAAAACUAGCAGGGUGACAUAAAUCAAAGUCAUAUGCAAACAUUACAACAUCAUAUGGAUUUAAUUUUGUUCAAAUUAUAGACAUUGGGGCUAAAAGUAGGGUUUUCAUUUUGCAUGUAUCUAUGUGUCAACAUUUAAAUUUGUUUAAUAUUUGGGCAUUGGGGUUACAUGUAGAAACGGACUGAAAUUAGGGUUUAAAUUUUACAUGUAUAGAGGUGUCAACAUUUUUGAUGGGAAUAUGGAGGGGGAAAAUCUUUAAAAACAAUCUUUUCAAGAACAGUAGACACAAAAUGUCUCAGGCAAGCAUUUUGGCUUUUGGCAUCUUCAGUGUAUUAGAUUCUCAUUCAUAUAAUUUUAAGAUCAUAAAAGUACACCCUUUUCUGAAGAAACAUAGUGAGUUUAAUUUUUUAAAAUAAUAAAUGAUUUUAAUGGAAAAAGAUGAAUUAA